rnacentral:lncRNA from 1 species
GGGUCGAAUCGGAGCUGUGGCCGCUGGCCUGCACCACAGCCACAGCAACUUGGGAUCCAAGCUGAGUCUUCGACCUACACCACAGCUCAUGGCAAUGCCAGAUCCUUAACCCACUGAGCGAGGCCAGGGAUCAAACCUGAACCUCAUGGUCCCUAGUCGGAUUUGUUAACCACUGAGCCAUGACGGGAACUCCUUCAGAUUCUUUUAACAGUACAUAUUCAGGCAGUCUUCAUACCCAGUCUUCAUGUGGAACAUAUGCUGAGUACUCAGGAUUCAUAGGUAAUAAAUACAUGAAAGAUAAUGUAAUGGGCAUAGAGACCAUAUAAAUAAAUAGAGGCAACUUGUCUGCUUUAAAACUUCCUCUCUUUCCCAAUACCUUUUCUUUUUCUGUGGGGAGGAGGACGGGGAGGGGGUGGUUGACUUGAAUAUUCUCUUAUUCCCUCUGGCUCUGACCUUCUGCUUCUGUCAAGAGGGUUCAGAUUAUGGAUCCUUUCAUUGUCUGUUUUCCACCCGAUCAUCGAGAUGUGAACUCAACCCUACUUAUGUAAAGCAGAGUUAAUCCAAGAUUUUCUGACCAUGGGAGGAGAUAGGUUAUGUGGUAAUAGAGCAGUGCAAAUCUCACCAUGUAGUUUUUCUGAGCAACUAGUUUUCUUAGGUUAAAAUACAAAGUCAUUAAUAAUGACUUAGAGAUGAGGCCUGGCAUGAUCUGGCCUGUGGGUUUGCAAACUUCGUCUCAUGCUACUCUCCCUUUUGAUCACAUCACUCCAGGCUAGGGGUCUAAUCGGAGCGGUAGCCGCCGGCCUACGCCAGAGCCACAGCAACGCGGGAUCCAAGCCGCGUCUGCAACCUACACCACAGCUCACGGCAACACUGGAUCCUUAACCCACUGAGCAAGGCCAGGGAUUGAACCUGCAACCUAAUGGUUCCUAGUCGGAUUCGUUAACCACUGAGCCAUGACAGGAACUCCUGUCUAAGAUUUUCUUAUUUGUGUUAUUUUCUGUUUCCCUUAUUCUGAAAACAAGGAAUGUUUACAUUGUACUCAUCCCUUUAGACUCGGUUUACUUCAUUCCUAACAGUUUUAAAUAGUCAUUAAGUCUGCUUGAAUGGGUGCAUGUGGGGCCCAGCAGGACUUGAUGGAUUAGCCGUAGACUGGGGAACAAGUGUCAAGGAUGGUACUCAGGUUUCAGGCUUGUGCACAUGGAUAGGUCCUGGAGGUGCUGACUGGGUGGGAGAGCAGGUUUGUGGGGACAGACCUAAGUGACGUUGCAGGUCUGGGUCCAUGCAUUGAGCAGGCUCUUAGGUGUGUUAGGGUUCACAGAAGCCAUUGGAGAUGUGAUUCUGAUGCCUUCUCAUUCACCAUCUGUAAAACUUCAUUUUCUACUUGUUGAAGGUAUGAUAUGUUUAGAAAAAAUAAUUUAUAUUUGCAUAUUUUGGAUUGCCAACUUGUCUUCUUCAAUCAGUUUUCUAGGCCUUUGGGAUUGUACCCACAUUCAGUUUUUAAAGUUUGUUAUUAAACACAACUUCCUUAAUAUAAUAAAACCAUUUUGCUUAUCUCAGUGCAUUUUUUUCAUUAAUAAGUGACUCAUUCAGUUUGCCUGUUGAACUGUAUGCGUACUUAAGAAAAUUAAAAGUGAUCUUUAUCCUUUUUUUUGUUUGUGUUGAAAACAAUUUUUGUUGCUAUUUCGAAUCCAAGUUCUAUUUCUUAGCGUACACAUUCAAACAAAUUUAAUGAACUUUGACCACUUAGUUUUUGGUGAAUACCAAAAUCUUGAGGAAUGUAACCCUUCUUCAUAGAAUAGAUUUCAUGUGAUCAGAAAGCAUUCACUGAGCAUUAGUGGGAUCCCUAUUAAGUGAAAGGCACCAAGUUAGGGACUAGAAGUUGCAGCAAUCUCAAUCAAAUGCAUGGAGCUAGGAGUUCCCAUUGUGGCUCAGUGGGUUAAGGACCCACCGUUGUCUGUGUGAGGAUGCAUGUUUGAUCCCUGGCCUUAUUCAGUCAGUGGGUUAAGGAUCUGGCAUUGCCACAAGCUGUGGUGUAGGUCGCAGGUGCAUCUCGGAUCCGGUGUUGCCAUGGCUGUGGUGUAGGCCAAAGCUGCAGCUCCAGUUAAACCCCUGGCCCAGAACUUCCUUAUGCUGCAGGUGUGGCCAUAAAAGGAGAAAAAAAAUGCAAAGAGCUGGAUCAGAAUUCUGACUUCUCUCUGAAAUCACUUCAAGAAAGAGAAAUAGAAACAAACAUUUUCUCAAAUAAAGCUGUCUUCUGCUAGAACCAUGGUAUAUAAAAACGGCUGCCAAAUGCAGUGAUGAAACAGGGAUUUGGGUACGAUACCAAGAGACGUGACUGUAGACCUCAGAUGCAAGUGCGAGACCUCUCUUUGCCGCUGCUGAGUGGCAAAAUUAACAAUCACCUUUUUUUUUGUCUUUUUGCCAUUUCUUGGGCUGCUCCUGUGGCACAUGGAGGUUCCCAGGCUAGAGGUUGAAUCGGAGCUGUAGCUGCCAGCCUAUACCACAGCCACAGCAACGCGGGAUCCGAGCCGCAUCUGCAGCCUAUACCACAGCUCACGGCAACACCGGAUCCUUAACCCACUGAGCAAGGGCAGGGACCGAACCCGCAACCUCAUGGUUCCUAGUCGGAUUCGUUAACCACGCGCCACGAUGGUUAACCACUCCCAACAAUCACUUUUGAAGAACUUGAAUGGAGAGCUUGGGUUGGUGGUCAGAGCUUCCCUGGAUCCCGCUUUACUCCAGAGAGUAGCAGAGGAAGCAGGACUGAGUAGAGAACCACAGACACAAUUUCCAUCUCUGUGGGAGUCAUCUGCCACUGCGACAAACCUGUGGGAAAUACUUGAAUGUAUGGUCUGAAAGGGUGCACUCUGUACCAGAAAAAAAAAAAAAAAAAAAAAAA